rnacentral:rRNA from 1 species
UACGAAGGGGGCUAGCGUUGCUCGGAAUUACUGGGCGUAAAGGGCGCGUAGGCGGCACUGUUAGUCAGGCGUGAAAUUCCUGGGCUCAACCUGGGGACUGCGCUUGAUACGGCAGAGCUUGAGGAUGGAAGAGGGUCGCGGAAUUCCCAGUGUAGAGGUGAAAUUCGUAGAUAUUGGGAAGAACACCGGUGGCGAAGGCGGUGACCUGGUCCAUUACUGACGCUGAGGCGCGACAGCGUGGGGAGCAAACAGG